CGUCAGGAGUCACUGAGAAGGAGGCAGAGAGUGUAAGUGUGCAGCCUUCAUCAGCUUAUUUUUAGUCGCGUUAUGUAAGUGGCUUCAUCUCAACGUCACAUGGGGGGGGGUCUCAGAUUUAAUUACAGGAUGACAGCCUUUGCUUUUCAAGCAAGCUGUUCUCCUGGCAAGCCAGGCGAAGGAUUGGGGAGUUUUGCUAAACAGAAGGAGCCCUUUCUGAGGUGACCACCCGUCAAAACUUGAACCCGCUUCCACCUCCGUCUCCCUCUUCCCGACCAGCCUCACCCAGCCUCGGCUGAAUGUGGCCUGAGAGUAGCCACUUGUCCGCAAUCACAGGGACGUUUUAUGCCUGUCAAGGGAGCUUCCUCUCUCCUCUUCCUCCCCCUCCCACCUUCUGCCUGGCAGCUUUGCCUUCUCUCCAAGAGAAGGGUCCACCCAAUCAGAACUCCUCUUCCUUUUCAUUCCUGGAUUAAAGCACUUGUAAUCAGUAACCAGAAAGUUCCAGAGCGGGAGAGACCGGAAGGCACUGGAGUGCUAUCGGACGGGUGUCUGGGGCAGAGCCAGGAGGGCGAGCCUCUUCUCUCCCCGCCUGCCCUUGCUCACUUCCCCCUCCAUGCCAGGUGCUGUGGGAGCAGCUGGGCCUGGCCGGGGUCGGCGGGUGAAGCUAUCCGCAUGGUGUCUGGAGCACCGUUUCUUUGCUUCCUGGAUGGGCUGGAUGGGCUCCCGUGUUCUUCACCAAUGGCAGCGUUACCAGCACCAAUGGCAGCGUUACCAGCAAGAAGGCAAAGGCAGGAGCACAUCGAGGGUGGGAGCCAGGGCUGUGGGGUCAGGAGUCCCGCUCCUUGCCGCGGGAAGCCUGGCUCAGCCACCUCCAGCACACUUCGGCUUUGUCCAGCAUAAAAGGCAGAGCGACGUUUUCACUGCAGGCUGUUUCCCACCAGGGCAAGUGGGACAGGGCGAGUGCUGACGUCUGCAGGCAUGGUGUGCAUUUAGGGGUGGGCGGCACCGAGGGGGCAUCAUUUGGCAUAGGCGGGCCCGGGGGCCACUGGGCUAGAUGACUGGCUGGUUGCUGGGGGCAGGUGUCACAGCCUCUCUGAGCACCCUCUAAGUGGAGGACAGAACAUUGUUGGGAGGAGUCCAGGCAUAAAGUGACAUAAACAGCGCAGAGAAUGGGACCAGCGCACCUGAGAGGUGAUCAUUAGCCUCAGCAACUGGAUGGGACAUUCCGAAGAGCUCCCAGCCAACACAGAUGGUCACUCCAGAGGCUGACAUUUAAAAGGAAGGGGCCCGGCCGGGCACAGUGGCUCACGCCUGUAAUCACAACACUUUGGGAGGCUGAGGCGGGCAGAUCAACUGGGGUCAGGAGUUCAAAACCAGCCUGGCCAACAUGGUGAAACCGCAUCUCUGCUGAAAAUACAAAAAAUUAGCCAGGCAUGGUGGUGGGCACCUGUAAUCCCAGCUACUCAGGAGGCUGAGGUAGGAGGAUCGCUUGAACCCAGGAAGUAGAGGUUGCAGUGAGCCGAGAUUGUGCCAUUGCACUCCAGCCUGGGCGACAAGCGAAACUUCGUCUCAAAAUAAAUAAAAGUAAGGGGCACAGGGAGGGGGCCCCAGCUCGUGCCCCUUCUGUGUGGGCUGCACAUGGUGACUUCCUUCCAGAGAGCACAGAGUGGGAGGUAGGCAAGGCGUCUCCACAGUGGAGAGCCCGACCCACUGUCUCAGCCCAGAGGUCAAGGCUGGCACCAUCACCGAGAGGUCACACGGGCAGAUGUGACAGGGCGCUUCACCACUGGGCUCUUCCUCCCAGACCCAUAACCCUUGUCUUAGUAUUAGAAAAACACUGGCAGACCGGGCGCAGUGGCUUACACCUGUAAUCGCAGCAUUUUGGGAGGCCGAGGUGGGAAGAUUGUUCAAGAGCAGUCUGGGCAACAUGGUGAGACCCCAUCUCUACAAAAAAAAUUUUUUUUUUAAUUAGCCAGGCGUGAUGGCACAUGCCUGUGGUCCUAGCCACUAGAGGCUGAGGUGGGAGGAUCACUGGAGCCCAGGAGGUCAAGGCUGCAGUGAGCUGUGAUCACACCACUGCACUCCAGCCUUGGCGACAAACCAAGACCCUGUCUCGAAAAGAAAAGAAAAGAAACAUUAGGCAAAUCCCAACAGGGGGACACUCUACAGAAAAACCGACCAGCCCUCCUGAAAACUUCCCAAGUCAUCAAAACCAAGGAAAGUGGGCUGGGCGCGGUGGCUCACACCUUAAUCCCAGCACUUUGGAAGGCUGAGGCGGGCAGAUCACAAGGUCAGGAGUUUGAGACCAGCCUAGCCAACAUGGUGAAAUCUCAUCUCUAAAAAUACAAAAAUUAGCCGGGCGUGGUGGCAGGCGCCUGUAGUCCCAGCUACUCGGGAGGCUGAGGCAGGAGAAUUGCUUGAACCCAGGAGGCGGGGGUUGCAGUGAGCUGAGAUGAUGCCACUGCAUUCUGGCCUGGGUGACAGAAUGAGACUCUGUCUCAAAAUAAAAAAAACCAAAAACCAAAAAACAACCAAGCAAAGUCUGAGAAACUGUCACAGCCUAGAGGAACCUGGAGACAGCUGAUCCCUAAAUGUCACGUGGGAUCCUGGGUGGGGUCCUGGGAGAGAAAGAAGACAUUGGAGGGAAACUGAGGAAAUAUGAAUAAAGUAUGGGCUUUAGUUAAUAAUAA
rnacentral:lncRNA from 1 species